rnacentral:rRNA from 1 species
GAUGAACGCUAGCGGCAGGCUUAAUACAUGCAAGUCGAGGGGCAGCACGGUUAGCAAUAACUGGUGGCGACCGGCGCACGGGUGCGUAACACGUAUACAAUCUACCUUAAACAGGGGGAUAGCCUUUCGAAAGAGAGAUUAAUACCCCGUAAUAAAUUGAACGGCAUCGUUUGAUUUUGAAAGCUCCGGCGGUUUGAGAUGAGUAUGCGUCUGAUUAGCUAGUUGGUGAGGUAACGGCUCACCAAGGCGACGAUCAGUAGGGGAUCUGAGAGGACUAACCCCCCACACUGGUACUGAGACACGGACCAGACUCCUACGGGAGGCAGCAGUAAGGAGUAUUGGUCAAUGGAGGCAACUCUGAACCAGCCAUGCCGCGUGCAGGAUGACGGCCCUAUGGGUUGUAAACUGCUUUUAUACAAGAGAAAACCCUGGUACGUGUACCAGGUUGAUAGUAUUGUAAGAUAAGCAUCGGCUAACUUCGUGCCAGCAGCCGCGGUAAU